rnacentral:lncRNA from 1 species
GACAAACUUAAGAUUUUCCAGGGUGCUUCCUGGUGUGUUUUUUCUUUCAUUCUUAUAGUGCAUCAAACUAAAGACUCAAGGAUUACUUUGCUCUGGAAAUUUUUGUUCUAUUUAUUCUUGUUUUCCACCUGUGUUUUAGUCUCUUUUAAAAAUGCUUGUUAUUGGGUCUUUUGGGUCUAUUUCCUUGAUCUUUUCUCUUUAUAAAAAUGUCUUGCCUUUUUAUUUUUUCUUCUUAAUACAGUGAGAAUGUGCUAGUUCAGUGCUCAAUUUUGAGCAGCUGGGUGAAGACCAUUUCAUUUUAGUGUUAGGAGACUAGUUUGGCCUAACUAAAUCCCUCUGCUAAAGAGACCAGGUUGUUUUUCUUGAGUCCAAUCUACUGUGGUUGUGUCCCCCUCAUAGUUUUUAGUAAAGAGUAAAGAUAGGAUUUGUCCAAAUUUCUUCUAACCAUUUUAAGAAUGUGUUUAUGGAGUAGGGAUACUUGAAGGGGGAAUAAAAUUAUCAUUUUGGGACCUCAGAGGCUUAAUCUCCUGUCUUUUCUAUCCUGUCACCCAGCAACACAUUCUUUGGACUGAAUUUCUUCUACAGUGGAACCAAGAAGAGGAUUAAUUAAUACAUUCAAUUCUAAAAUAAACCAUGGCCAAUGUAAGUUUACUACUUCAAGUUUCUAAUUGAAGUAAUUUUUUUCUUAUAAGACACAUGAAUAUUUGCAUUCUUCGUCCUGAUAUUAUUACUGUACUCAGAAUUAUACAGUAACUUACUAGUGAAUAAGUG